AAAAAUUCACAUGAUGGUACUGUAUCUAACUAGUUCAUACAGAUGUAGGAUCUAAAUUUGACUACUCUUUUGUUGCUGAGAAUGUUCCUAUGCCGCAGGAAAAAUUACUCAAAAACCACACUAACACAUGGUUAUAUUAACAGUAUUGCACAUUGUCCAGCUAAUAGCCUAACUACCGAUCAAGCAACAUUAUGGACUGAACAUUCAAAUCCUGUUGCUGCAGGAUUAUUCUGCAAAGACAAUACUGGUCAAAUGUACAUAAAUAAACCUUCCACGUGCCUUGAAUAUUACACCUUGGAAACCAAAUGAAAAAUAACCAUGGAUAAGACACCGUAUUAAUGAUUUCUUUCAAAUAAUUCCAGUUUUCAUUUGUUUGGGUUGAGUUUAGGAUUAAGGUAAACCCUUUCCUCCCAGAAGGCCUAGACCAGACGUAUUCAAAUACAGGGGAGAUCAUAGUAUGUUGUCUCAUAUAUUUAUUAUCACAGAGCUGAUCUUUGUAUAAGUUAAUAUAAAAAAGAAAUGUUCCUCCUUACUCCACUUCAUGUAUUUCCCUGCUCCUCGUAUAUCGCAGGCACUGACAUUAAAUCUUACGCACUCAGGCCUCCGGGUGGCGCAGUGGUUAAGGGCGCUGUACAGCAGCGCCAGCUGUGCCACCAGAGACUCUGGGUUUGCGCCCAGGCUCUGUCGUAACCGGCCGCGACCGGGAGGUCCGUGGGGCGACGCCCAAUUGGCCUAGCGUCGGGAGGGUUUGGCCGAGAUACCGUGACGAGAUCCUGAAGCCCAUUGUCGUGCCAUUCAUCCGCCGCCACCACAUGAUAAUGCACGGCCCAUUGUCACAGGGAUCUGGCAGCUGAAAAUGUUCCAGUUCUUCCAUGGCCUGCAUACUCACCAGACAUGUCACCCAUUGAGUACGUUUGGGAUGCUCUGGAUCGACGUGUACAACAGCAUGUUCCAGUUCCCGUCAAUAUCCAGAAACUUCACACAGCCAUUGAAGAGGAGUGGGACAACAUUUCACAGGCCACAAUCAACAGCCUGAUCAACUCUAUGCGAAGGAGGUGUGUCGUGCUGUACCUCUGUCCGCUACGACCCGCGCCUACCCAGAGAGACCAGCAGUCUGUCGCCG
ensembl:lncRNA